AUUGGUUAGUUUCAGGUGCAUGCAGGUUCCACUUAAGUCGAGACCCAAAAUUAUCUCAAAUUUUAAAUCAAAAUGACCAAGAGCACCAGUCAGGUUAUUUUUUCUUUAUAUGUUUUGUACAUGGAGCUCAGUAGUCAAAAAUGUAUCCUUCAUAUGGCAAUGCACAUCCUUUGGAACCUUCCUAGAAUCUCGAACCCACAUCCACAUGCUAAGCACUUUCCAAGCAAAAGCAUUUAUUAAAAAUUAUGCUUCCCUACACCGCUCUCAUCCUCACAACUCACAUGGAGCUUAUCCAAAAGAUCUGAAUUAAUAUAAUUUCCAUUUUUAAUUUUUGAAGUUAUUGAAUUAAUUAAUUAUAAAAGUUAGAAAACUUAAGAAGACAUAUGGUUAUAGACAAUUAAACAAUAUUUUCUAAGAUAGUGAGUGCAUUUUAAUAAAAAUUUAUUCUAUAUUUUGUGUAAAUGCAACAGCAACCCAAGCAAUCGAUGCCCAUUCAGGAUGAUUUUCAAAUAAUUUGUCAAGAGAGAGUUUAUCUACGAUCCAAAUGAAAAAGCUUUUUUUCAAGCUUAUUGCUCUUUUCAAAAAAUAACCUUCCUAAUUUUUUUCAAAAAUAAAAAUAUCAAUUUUCAGAAAUGGUAACAUGGUUGUACCAGUAGUGAACCUAUGCUACCAAAAUUUGAUCUACAAUUGGUAAGUUUAGGUGCAUGCAGAUUUCACCUGAGUCAAGGCCCAAAAUUAUCUCAAAUUUUAAAUCAAAAUGAUCAAGAGCACCAUUCAGGUUAUUUUUUCUUUAUAUGUUUUGUACAUGGAGCUCGAAGUCAAAAGAGGUAUCUUUCAUAUGGCAAUGCACAUGCUUUGGAACCUUCCUAGAAUCACGAACCCACAUCCACAUCCUAAGCACUUUCCAAAUAAAAGCAUUUAUUAAAAAUACUGCUUCCCUACACUCGAUCUCAUCCUCGCAAUGCACAUGGAGCUUUUCCAAAAGAUCUGAAUUAAUAUAAUUUCCAUUUUUUUAUUUUUGAAGUUAUUGAAUUAAUUAAUUAUAAAAGUUAGAAAACUUAAGAAGACAUCUAGUGUUAGAUAAUUAAACAAUUUUUUCUAAGAUAGGGACUGCAUUUUAAUAAAAAUUUAUUCUAUAUUUUGCAUAAAUGCAAGAGAAACCCAAGCAAUCGAUGUUCCUUCAGGAUGAUUUUCAAAUAAUUUGUUAAGAAAGAGUUUAUCUAUGAUCCAAACGAAAAAGCUUUUUUUCAAGCUUAUUGCUCUUUUCAAAAAUUAAUCUUCCUAAUUUUUUCCAAAACAAUAAAAAUAUCAAUUUUCAGAAAAGAUAACAUGGUUGCACCAGUAGUGAACCCGUGCUACCAAAAUUUGAUCUACAAUUGGUUAGUUUCACGUGCAUGCAGAUUCCACUCAAGUCGAGGCCCAAAAUUAUCUCAAAUUUUAAAUCAAAAUGACCAACAGCACCAGUCAAGUUAUUUUUUCUUUAUAUGUUUUGUACAUGGAACUCAGUAGUCAAAAAUGGUAUCUUUCAUAUGGCAAUGCACAUGCUUUGGAACCUUCCUUGAAUCUCGAACCCACAUCCACAUCCUAAGCACUUUCCAAAUAAAAGCAUUUAUUAAAAAUUAUGCUUCCCUACACCCACUCUCAUCCUCACAACUCACAUGGAUCUUAUCCAAAAGAUCUGAAUUAAUAUAAUUUCCAUUUUUUUAUUUUUGAAGUUAUUGAAUUAAUUAAUUAUAAAAGUUAGAAAACUUAAGAAGACAUAUAGUGUUAGAUAAUUAAACAAU
rnacentral:lncRNA from 1 species